AACGAACGCUGGCGGCAUGCCUAACACAUGCGAGUCGAACGAGACCUUCGGGUCUAGUGGCGCACGGGUGCGUAACGCGUGGGAACCUGCCCUUAGGUUCGGAAUAACUCCCCGAAAGGGGUGCUAAUACCGGAUAAUGUCUUCGGACCAAAGAUUUAUCGCCUUUGGAUGGGCCCGCGUUGGAUUAGCUAGUUGGUAGGGUAAAAGCCUACCAAGGCGACGAUCCAUAGCUGGUCUGAGAGGAUGAUCAGCCACACUGGGACUGAGACACGGCCCAGACUCCUACGGGAGGCAGCAGUGGGGAAUAUUGGGCAAUGGGCGAAAGCCUGAUCCAGCAAUGCCGCGUGAGUGAUGAAGGCCUUAGGGUUGUAAAGCUCUUUUACCCGGGAUGAUAAUGACAGUACCGGGAGAAUAAGCUCCGGCUAACUCCGUG
rnacentral:rRNA from 1 species